rnacentral:rRNA from 1 species
GACAGAGGGUGCAAACGUUGUUCGGAUUUACUGGGCGUAAAGCGUGCGCAGGCGGUCUUGCAAGACAGAUGUGAAAUCCCCGGGCUUAACCUGGGAACUGCAUUUGUGACUGCAUGGCUGGAGUGCGGCAGAGGGGAUGGAAUUCCGGCGUGUAGCAGUGAAAUGCGUAGAUAUGCGGAGGAACACCGAUGGCGAAGGCAAUCCCCUGGGCCUGCACUGACGCUUAUGCACGAAAGCGUGGGGAGCAAACAGG